UACGUAGGGUGCAAGCGUUGUCCGGAAUUAUUGGGCGUAAAGGGCUCGUAGGCGGUCCAUCACGUCGGGAGUGAAAAGCUGGGGCUUAACCCCAGUCCUGCUUCCGAUACGGGUGGACUAGAGGUAGGCAGGGGAGAACGGAAUUCCUGGUGUAGCGGUGAAAUGCGCAGAUAUCAGGAGGAACACCGGUGGCGAAGGCGGCAUUCUGGACUGUAACUGACACUGAUGAACGAAAGCCAGGGGAGCAAACGGG
rnacentral:rRNA from 1 species